rnacentral:rRNA from 1 species
GAUGAACGCUGGCGGCGUGCCUAAUACAUGCAAGUCGAGCGGAAGGACGAGAAGCUUGCUUCUUUGAUGUUAGCGGCGGACGGGUGUGUAACGCGUGGAUCAUCCACUUAUAUGUCUGGGAUCAUUUCGGGAAUCCGGCGCUAAUACCGGAUAAUAUUAUGAACCGUAUGGUUCAAUAGAGAAAGACGGCUUUGGUGUCUCGUAUAGCUGGUUACGAGCUGGAUUAGCUAGUUGGUAAGGUAACGGCCUUUCACGGCGACGAUGCGUAGCCGACCUGAGAGGGUGAUCGGCCACACGGGAACGGAGACACGGUCCAGACUCCUACGGGAGGCAGCAGUAGGGAAUCGGCCGCAAUGGGCGAAAGCCUGACAGAGCAACGCCGCGUGAGUGAUGAAGGUCUUCGGAUCGUAAAGCCCUGUUAUGAGGGAAGAACAGAUGUGUAAUGAACUGAGGACAUCUUGACGGUACCUAAUCAAAAAGCCACGGCUAACUACGUG